UACGUAGGGGGCAAGCGUUGUCCGGAAUCAUUGGGCGUAAAGAGCGUGUAGGCGGCCCGGUAAGUCUGUUGUGAAAGUCCAGGGCUCAACCCUGGAAUGCCGAUGGAUACUGCCGGGCUAGAGUUCGGAAGAGGCGAGUGGAAUUCCUGGUGUAGCGGUGGAAUGCGCAGAUAUCAGGAGGAACACCUAUAGCGAAGGCAGCUCGCUGGGCCAUAACUGACGCUGAGGAGCGAAAGCAUGGGGAGCGAACAGG
rnacentral:rRNA from 1 species